rnacentral:rRNA from 1 species
UACGUAGGGACCGAGCGUUGUCCGGAAUCAUUGGGCGUAAAGAGCGUGUAGGCGGCUAGGUAGGUCCGCUGUUAAAACUCGAGGCUUAACCUCGAGAGGUCGGUGGAAACCAUCUGGCUAGAGUCCGGAAGAGGAGAGUGGAAUUCCUGGUGUAGCGGUGAAAUGCGCAGAUAUCAGGAAGAACACCCGUGGCGAAAGCGGCUCUCUGGGACGGUACUGACGCUGAGGUGCGAAAGCGUGGGGAGCAAACAGG